rfam:Camelus ferus unplaced genomic scaffold scaffold2524, whole genome shotgun sequence.
GAGGGUACAGCUCAGUGGUAGAGCACAUGUUUAGCAUGCGCGAGGUCUUGGGUUCAAUCCCCAGUACCGCCA